CUCAGAGAAAGGUAAAUACUAAAUGCUUUGUUUGUUGUACACAAAGCUUCCGCUUAUCUCCUCUUCUUUCCCUCUCUUUUUUAUAUUAUUGGUUUGUAGUAAGGGGAUAUAGCUCAGCUGGCUAGAGCGGCGGCUUUGCAAGCCGUAGGUCAGGGGUUCGAAUCCCCUUAUCUCCAAAAUCGUACGGUAUAAAUGCUUUUUGCUGUACGAAGAGAUCUUUGAAAAGCUAGGGAAGGGAAAGAAAGAAUGCUUGAAGGUAGAUUACUUUAUUGGAGAAGUAAUUAACUGGAGAGUAGAAAAAUAAGGUGAAAAGAAGAAUUCUUAACGGUUGCCGAAUAGGUAAUUGUUUUAAGAAGAGAACAUAAUAU
rnacentral:tRNA from 1 species